ensembl:snRNA U6 U6 spliceosomal RNA
GCCACACAUGCACUAAUAUUGGAAUGAUAUUAAGAAGAUUAGCAUGCCCACCUAAUGCAAGGAUGACAUGCAAAUUUAUGAAGUGUACCAUGUUUUC